UACGAAGGGGGCUAGCGUUGUUCGGAAUCACUGGGCGUAAAGCGCACGUAGGCGGAUUUUUAAGUCAGGGGUGAAAUCCCGAGGCUCAACCUCGGAACUGCCUUUGAUACUGGGGAUCUCGAGUCCGGGAGAGGUGAGUGGAACUGCGAGUGUAGAGGUGAAAUUCGUAGAUAUUCGCAAGAACACCAGUGGCGAAGGCGGCUCACUGGCCCGGUACUGACGCUGAGGUGCGAAAGCGUGGGGAGCAAACAGG
rnacentral:rRNA from 1 species